rnacentral:rRNA from 1 species
AGUGAACGCUGGCGGUAGGCCUAACACAUGCAAGUCGAACGGCAGCACAGUAAGAGCUUGCUCUUACGGGUGGCGAGUGGCGGACGGGUGAGGAAUACAUCGGAAUCUACUUUUUCGUGGGGGAUAACGUAGGGAAACUUACGCUAAUACCGCAUACGACCUACGGGUGAAAGCAGGGGAUCUUCGGACCUUGCGCGAUUGAAUGAGCCGAUGUCGGAUUAGCUAGUUGGCGGGGUAAAGGCCCACCAAGGCGACGAUCCGUAGCUGGUCUGAGAGGAUGAUCGGCCACACUGGAACUGAGACACGGUCCUGACUCCUACGGGAGGCAGCAGUGGGGAAUGUUGGGCAAUGGGGGCAAGCCUGAUCCAGCCAUACCGCGUGGGUGAAGGAGGCCUUCGGGUUGUAAAGCCCUUUUGUUGGGAAAGAAAAGCAGCAGGUUAAUACCCCGCUGUUCUGACGGUACCCAAAGAAUAAGCACCGGCUAACUUCGUG